AUCGACCGAUACAUCGACCACAUCAGAGUUCUUGAGAUUUCCGUAGAUAUUUUUUUCACGCCUUCCUAUCAAACUGAUAUAAUUCUAAAAUAUAAUAUUAGAUAGCAAAUAGCCCGCAGGUGCAAUUCAGACUCUCACUAAGUACCAAUUUAGUUAGACAUGGCACUAAUAGGGAGUAAUGCUAAAUUUUUACUUGGAAUAAAUUUCAGUUGUUUAACCUUUUUUGUACGUGCGUGCAGAGUAAAAUUUACUUUUUUUUUAUAGCAUUAUCUAUUUUUAAUACUAGUUAUG